UACAUGGGGUGCAAACGUUGCUCGGAAUUAUUGGGCGUAAAGCGCACGUAGGCGGUUUGUUAAGUCGGAUGUGAAAUCCCUCGGCUCAACUGAGGAAGUGCAUCCGAAACUGGCAAGCUUGAGUACGAAAGAGGAUCGCGGAAUUCCCGGUGUAGAGGUGAAAUUCGUAGAUAUCGGGAGGAACACCGGUGGCGAAGGCGGCGACCUGGGCCAAUACUGACGCUGAGGUGCGAAAGCGUGGGGAGCAAACAGG
rnacentral:rRNA from 1 species